UUAAAGGGACUCUUACCUUUGUUGCAUUUGAGAAUUACAGCACAUUGAAAUCAUCCCGCCUUCCUCCAAUGCUCCACCCCCUAAGCGUUAUUUUUUAGAGUACAAAACUAAGCGUUAUUUUUUAACGAGUACUGUAACGACCUCGCCGGUGACAUAAUGAUGUCGAGUCAUUAUUAGUAGUUGAAGGUAGUUUUAAUGAACCAAAACCAGGUCACUGAAACCCGUAACAUUGUAACCAACGGCAGAAAACCGACACAAAACAAACCCCGGUUACCCCGGCAACCCCCAACACGGUCUCACUCGCGUGCAGGCCCCCACCCUCCUGUUCUUCCAAGGCCCUACCCCAGCUGACCUAAUGAUUCGCCCCCACGCUGAUUGACAAGAAGAACAUUACAAUACAUGCACAUAGAAUAACUGGCAUAACGGACAACGAAAUAUAAUGUAACACAUAACACACAAACUAUUUAACUGUCCCAGGGUCGCUACAGUACAAAAGUUCUAGACUCCCAUGGGUUAUGUUUAGACUCCCAUGGGUUAUGUUUAGACUCCCAGGGGUCAUAAUAUAGAAACGUGUAUGAGCAUUACAAACAGAGUAGCAGGACAACGUAGCGUCUGAGGCCGAAAUGGGUCCCCUAAUCUGACUGAAUAGUGCGGUUGUUUGCCAACGGUCUGGAGGUCUUCCUGGAGCUCCAGAGUAGCGGGACAACGUCGCGUCUGAGUCCGAAAUGGGUCCCGUAAUCGGACUGAGUGUGGCGGUUGGUUGCCAACGGUCUUGAGGUCUUCCUGGAGCUCCAGAGUAGCGGGACAACGUCGCGUCUGAGUCCGAAACGGGUCCCCUAAUCGGACUGAGUGGUGCGGUUGGUUGCCAACGGUUUGGAGGUCCUGAGAAUCAUCCAGGGGAGCGGGACCACUUGGCUUCUGAGGCCGAAUCGGGUCCCCUUGUCGGACUGAAUGGUGCAGUUGGUGGCCAACAGUCUGGAGGUCUUCCUGAGGCUCCAGAGGAGGGUAACUCUGUGAGUCUGAGUCCGAGAUGAGUCCCCUAAUCAGACUGAAUGGUGCAGUUUCAGUACGCCGUGGACCACUUUGGUCUGCCAUCGUCAGUCGCUACGGUCGCUACUCGCUACUGUCUGCCGUGGAUUCAAAACAAACCCUCUAGUUGAGGACGCGCCUUGAUGACGCGGGCCCGAAUCCGCCACAAGAAGCAGACGGAAAACCUUAUAUAUCCAUGCAGCAAACAGACAGGUCUGUCGGCCAAUAAGGUCAUUCGGUCCGAAGAAUUUUAUUGGUUGAAGUUUUCACUAAAUAUUAUGAGAGUAAAAUAAUUGUUUGUUUUUACUCCUGGUGGGUCUGUCUUGCAUAUUAGAGUGUUAUUACCUUAUUAAUACCAAUUUAACCUUAUCCAAAAAAAGUGUAAAAAUGCAACAAAUGUAAGAGUCCC
ensembl:lncRNA